GGACGCGCCGGCUCCGGGCGGGCGUGGUCCCUCCUGCGGGCGCCUGGGUUGGCCGGGCGGACCCCGGAAGAGGGGGAGUCGCGGGGACGCAGCGACAGAGUCGGGGUCUGGCCGCGGCCGCCCACGCCUCCCAGGGGUUGCAGGCCUGGGCGCCGGGGUUGGACCAGUCUUCCGGGCAUUGCACGCCCUGGUUUGGUCUGUACCCAUGGUUUGUGGCGGGGCAAGAUGUUAAGUUGGGUAACACCGAGGUGAGCCGCGGUCCUCGGCACCAGAUGAAGAACCACUGUCUCAAUAAGAUUAUUAAAAACUCCAAUUUGUGUCUGUGUAACUCAACGUGGGAGCCUGGAACCAUGUUUACUCUUCUGAUGACCCUGAAAGCCUGA
rnacentral:lncRNA from 1 species